rnacentral:rRNA from 1 species
GUGAGGAAUAUUGCGCAAUGGAGGCAACUCUGACGCAGCCAUGCCACGUGCAGGAAGAAGGCGCUACGCGUUGUAAACUGCUUUUAACCGGGAAGAAACCCCAGGACGUGUCCUGGGUUGACGGUACCGGAGGAAUAAGCACCGGCUAACUUCGUGCCAGCAGCCGCGGUAAUACGAAGGGUGCAAGCGUUAUCCGGAUUCAUUGGGUUUAAAGGGUGCGUAGGCGGAGCGUUAAGUCAGUGGUGAAAUCCUGCAGCUUAACUGUAGACUUGCCAUUGAUACUGGCGCUCUUGAGUGCGCUUGAAGUGGGCGGAAUGUGCCGUGUAGCGGUGAAAUGCUUAGAUAUGGCACAGAACACCAAUUGCGAAGGCAGCUCACUAAGGCGAUACUGACGCUGAGGCACGAAAGCGUGGGGAUCGAACAGGAUUAGAAACCCCUGUAGUCC